rnacentral:lncRNA from 1 species
AUGUUGGGCUUAAUUUUAAUUUAAUUGAAUUGGGCCAAAUUUUUGGGCUCUAUUUAUUUUAAUAAUUGGGCCGAAAAUUUUACCUCUUAUUUAUUUUCUUUGGGCCUUGUUGUAUUUAUUUUCAUGUGGGCCUUUAUUGUUUCUCUUUGGGCCGAGUUUACUAAUGAAAGCCCAACUGCAUUUUAUUUUAAUUGGGCUUUAUUUUAAUUUAUUGGGCCUUUGUUAU